GUGUGUGUAUAAAACAUUUCAAUACAACAUACAAAUACAAAACAUACUCAACCAUAUAUACGAGAAGUUGAGCCAUCGAAACAUUAAAUAGCGCCAAACAGCAAAACCCGCCAGUUCCCUCUUGGAUACCGUGUUCAACACUUGCCUUAUAGUUGGUUGUCUUUUUACCACGAGGAGGAGUCUCUCUCUUUGAACACUCUCUUGUGUGAACUUUGACCCUCUCAAGACGCCAAAGGCAAAAUUUAUUUAUAUUACGUGGAAUAAUCUCAUAUAUAGGCAGGGUUCAAAAUGUCUACUGCAGAAAUUUCGCACCUCAAAAUGGCAAAUUCCGGUGAAACAGGAACAGGAGUUGAUUCGGCGUACAAGAAUAAUUACGUGACGGGUGCCAACAAAUACUGGCCAACACUUUUCAAACUAUUCGAAUUGGUAAGUUUGAUUAUUUUCUUAUUUUUUUAGCUGUGUUUCUUUCAGACACAGCUUUUGUGUACCGAGCAAAAUCGAAAGUCGUCAGAUCGGGCUCAAACUUGGGAUGAGCACGAAUUAGGGUCCCCACAUUCCAAAAAACGUAUGCGCCAAAAAAUUUUUUUUCCGGCCGUCCGGCCGUCCGGCCGGAGUACAACGCUAAAUUGCGAGAGAACGGUGAUAGAUAGAGACUUGCGGUAAACGGCAAAGUUUAAAUAUCGACUGGAAGACAUCCGAUUAUGAUGUCAAAUUUUACCCCCCACCCCUGCGUCCGCCAUUUUGAAUAACCUCAAAAUUUUGUUUUCGCUAUAUCUCAGCCCCUAUUAUAGCUAGAGGGCUGAAAUUUUGAUAUGUUGUAGGGGCCAUCAAGAGCUUUCCAACGAUGCCUCAUUUUCGAAAAUCGGUCAAGCCGUUUAGUCAAUAUGGCCGCCACAAUUUUUCAUCGAAAAUCGACCAUAACUCGAAAACGGCUUGACCAAUUUUGAUCAACUCAGGGUCAAAUGAAAGAUCUCAACAAACCCUACAACUCUCUAGAACAUCAGAGGUUUCAAAAGUGACCGCUAGAGGGCCAAAAAUCAAAAACAAAUUUUUCGAUGAAUAUCUCGAAAACGCCAUUAUCGAUUUGCUUCAUUUUUUGAUAUGUUAUAGCUGACCAUAUUAUCUAGCUCCAUGCCAAAAAUGAAGAAAAUCUAUGUCGCCGUUCUCGAGAUAUAGCCUUCCAAAGUUGGCAUGUCAUAUCUCGGGUUCUACAAGUCGGAUUUUGAUCAACUCAAGUGCAAAUGAAAGGUUUCGUGAAGCCCUACAAAUGUCUAGAACAUUGCAAGUUCGAGAAAUGGCCGCGAGAGGCGCUAAAGUCAAAAUCAAAAUUUUCGAAAAUUUCGAACUCGAAUAUUUCGAAAAUGCCAAUAUCGAUUUACUUCAUAUUUUAAUAUAUUAUAGUUGAGGUUAAGACCUUUCCAACGAUAGCUCAAAAUCGAAAAUCUAUGGAGCCGUUCCCGAGAUAUGGCGUUUUAAAGAUUUCUUAGGGGAUUAAUUUUCAACUUUUCCCGACUGCGCGUAUUUAAAUUAAUUUACGCUCUAGUUUGCUCUCACAAAAUUGGUACACUGAAAGAAACACAGCUCUCGUAAGCUUGGACAGCUUACCAGUACAUUUUAAUAAAAUAAAUCAAAACUUAAGCAAAAAAGAAACUUAUUGAUUCAACAAAUUUACAUUUAAGGUUUCUAUGUUAAGAAUAACGAAAAGAACGAAUGUCCGACAGAAUAAAUAUAAUUUUCAUGUUAGAUUCCUCUAUAAUAAUAAUUAUUUUGUAGAUGAAACUCAUGGAAUAAAGAGAUACUAAAGCAUAUAA